rnacentral:rRNA from 1 species
UACAGGGGGGCAAGCGUUGUUCGGAAUUACUGGGCGUAAAGGGCUCGUAGGCGGCCAACUAAGUCCGACGUGAAAUCCCAAAGCUUAACUUUGGAACUGCGUCGGAUACUGGAUGGCUUGAAUUCGGGAGAGGGAUGCAGAAUUCCAGGUGUAGCGGUGAAAUGCGUAGAUAUCAGGAGGAACACCGACAGCGAAGGCAGCACUCUGGGCCGGUACUGACGCUGAGGAGCGAAAGCAUGGGGAGCGAACAGG